rnacentral:rRNA from 1 species
AUACGGAGACUGCGAGCGUUACUCGGAUUCACUGGGCGUAAAGGGUGCGCAGGCGGUGAUGUAUGUCAGGUGUGAAAUCCCGGGGCUUAACUCCGGAAGUGCGCCUGAAACUGCAUUACUAGAGGCUUGGAGGGGACAGCAGAAUUUCUGGUGUAGCGGUGAAAUGCGUAGAUAUCAGAAGGAAUACCAAUGGCGAAGGCAGCUGUCUGGACAAGAUCUGACGCUCAUGCACGAAAGCGUGGGGAGCAAAAGGGAUUAGAUACCCCUGUAGUCCACGCCCUAAACAUUGCACACUAAGCCUCAGUCAAUCGACCUGAUUGGGGCUCAAGCUAACGCGAUAAGUGUGCCGCCUGAGGACUACGGCCGCAAGGCUAAA